rnacentral:rRNA from 1 species
CACAUGCAAGUCGAACGGCAGCACGGGGGCAUCCCUGGUGGCGAGUGGCAAAUGGGUGAGUAAUGCAUCGUAACGUGCCCUUUAGUGGGGGAUAACCCGGCGAAAGCCGGGCUAAUACCGCAUACGACCUAAGGGUGAAAGCGGGGGACAGUAAGGCCUCGCUCUAUUGGAUCGGCCGAUGUCUGAUUAUCUAGUUGGCGGGGUAAAAGCCCACCGUGGCGCCGAUCACUACCUGGUCUGAGAGGACGACCUGCCACACUGGGACUGAGACACGGCCCAGACUCUUAUGGGAGGCAGCACUGGGGAAUUUUGGACAAUGGGCGCAAGCCUGAUCCAGCCAUGCCGCGUGCGGGAACAACGCCUUCGGGUUGUAAACCGCUUUUGGCAUUGAACGAAACGGCGCAAGCCAAUACCUUGCGCUAAUGACGGUACCUGCAGAAUAAGCACCGGCUAACUACGUGCCAGCAGCCGCGGUAAUAGGUAGGGCGCAAGCGUUUAUCGGAAUUACUGGGCGUAAAGCGUACGCAGGCGGCUUUGCAAGACAGGUGUGAAAUCCCCGGGCCUAACCUGGGAACUGCAUUUGUGACUGCAUGUCUAGGGUCUGUCAGAGGGGGGUGGAAUUCCACGUGUAGCAGUGAAAUGUGUAGAUAUGUGGAAGAACUCCGAUGGAGAAGGCAGCCCCCUGGGAUGAGACUGACGGUCACGUAAGAAAGCGUGGGGAGCAAACAGGAUUAGAUACCCUGGUAGUCCACGCCCUAAACGAUGUAUAAUAGUUGUCGGAGGGUAACUCCUUCGGUAACGCAGCUAACGCGUGA